UUAAACCACGACAGGGUGUCAGGCACUCUUUGGCCACACCUGGGCCAUCGGCUGCCUGAAUUGUAUAUCAGAAUGACUGGGCAUGAAUUGUGGCCGGAAUGUAAAAUAAUGACCAAAGCCAAUCAUCUCAAGGCCCUAUAAAUAGCGAUCCAAGGAGAAACGUUCUGAGUUUCUGGGACCGCAGCAGGCUGCGUGACCCAGUGUCUCCCCCAAGCCAGGACACCUCUCAGGGUAGAUUUUGCGAGGAUUGAAAGAUCGUCCGUGGACGAUUUCGCAAGGACUUAAAGGCCUGAUUUCAUGAAGUUCGUCGACUGUCCAUUGAUGUAUGCUGGCACAUAAAACCUAUGGAGAGGACUACAGUUAAGCAGGUAGUCCUGCCAGCCCAUGGAGAAGACCACACCAGAGCAGAUAACCGCACUGCAGCCUGUGCAGGACCCCAUGCUGGAGUAGGUGGAUGUUUCCUGAAGGAGCUGUGGCCUGCGGAGAGCUCAUGCUGGUGCAGAUUUUCCUGACAAGCGCUGCAGCGUGUGGAGGACCCACUCUGGAGCAGACUGAGAGGCUGCAACCUGCAGGAAGGACCGACAUUGGAGCAGGGGAACAACAUGCGGAGGAAGGAGCAGCAGAGAGGAGCUGUUACGGACUGACCACAACCCCCCAUUCCCCAUCCCCCUGCGCCGCUCGGGAGGGGUAAGGUAGAGGAGUUGGGAAUUAAAGGGUGAAGUUGAGCCUGGGCAGAAGGGAGAGUGGGGAGGCAGUGUUUUAGUUUUUGUCUUCGCUUGUCACCAUCCUACUCUAUUUUAAUUGGCAAUAAAUGAAAUUUUCCCCGA